rnacentral:rRNA from 1 species
AGCGAACGCUGGCGGCAGGCCUAACACAUGCAAGUCGAACGAACCUUUCGGGGUUAGUGGCGGACGGGUGAGUAACACGUGGGAACGUGCCUUUAGGUUCGGAAUAACUCAGGGAAACUUGUGCUAAUACCGAAUGUGCCCUUCGGGGGAAAGAUUUAUCGCCUUUAGAGCGGCCCGCGUCUGAUUAGCUAGUUGGUUGAGGUAAUGGCUAACCAAGGCGACGAUCAGUAGCUGGUCUGAGAGGAUGAUCAGCCACAUUGGGACUGAGACACGGCCCAAACUCCUACGGGAGGCAGCAGUGGGGAAUCUUGCGCAAUGGGCGAAAGCCUGACGCAGCCAUGCCGCGUGAAUGAUGAAGGUCUUAGGAUUGUAAAAUUCUUUCACCGGGGACGAUAAUGACGGUACCCGGAGAAGAAGCCCCGGCUAACUUCGUG